UGUAGUCUGCAACCCGACUACAUGAAGCUGGAAUCGCUAGUAAUCGCGGAUCAGAAUGCCGCGGUGAAUACGUUCCCGGGUCUUGUACACACCGCCCGUCACACCAUGGGAGUCGGAAAUGCCCGAAGUCUGUGACCCAACCUACGGGAGGGAGCAGCCGAAGGCAGGUCGGAUGACUGGGGUGAAGUCGUAACAAGGUAAC
rnacentral:rRNA from 1 species